CUCCACUGAGUUGUCAAUGACUUGCCCAUGGUUACUCAGUUAGAAUAGCUUGGGCUGGCACUGAGAUUUUCUCACUCCGUCCCAACUCCUCCAGCCUAGUUUACUGAAAACAUCUGGACUGUGAGGAAAGGAACCAGGUGAAAACUGCAAGGUGUGGGGAUAAGGGAAAACAACUGGAGUCAGCCUAAAACCCUAACAGUAGGAGAAAGCCGAAAUACACUUCUCAAGCUGUGCUGAACCGUGGUUGCUAGAUUGGUCAUUAAAUCGAAGAUCAGUUAACAUGUUGUCUUUCUAAAAAUACGUGAUGGAGAAAAGUUGUGCACACAAAAAUAUCAGUGGCACUGAAAACUGUUUACAAGGAGUUUUUAGUAGAAAAUGUUUAUGGUGUAACUUUGAAUUUACAAAAGGCAGAGCAAACUUGAGUAGUAAAGAGUGGCAGGAUCGCAAGGUGAUUUUUUAUUUUGUUUUUCUGUAUUUCUCCCAAUUUUCUCCAGUAAGCAUAAAAUACAUUCAUAAUCUGGAAAUAAAUAUUUUUAACUAAAAGACAAGAUAAAGCAGUAGUCUUAGUAGGUUGAAACAAUCAGUAUCCUAUUUGUGGAAAAAUUAAAAUCUUCCAGCCUCUUUGCAAAGACAAACAAGCAGCCUGGGCAAUUGCAUGAGGACCACUGAGGGGACUGCACCUGUUGCCUUUGCCUUUUUUUCGGCAGGAAGUAUAGUCAGCUUUGGUCAUCAUUUAUCUCAUUUAUGAAAGAUUUCAUGGAUAAAGUAAGAAAGAGAGUCUGCCUGCCUGCAAAUCACUCAUUUACAAAUUUUGAAUAACAAGAUUAUUGUGAAAAUUUACAUCUGUAUACUUACUUAUAGUAGGAAAAAAAAAAAACU
rnacentral:lncRNA from 10 species